UGAGGAAUAUUACGCAAUGGGGGAAACCCUGACGCAGCAACGCCGCGUGGGUGAAGAAGGCCCUCGGGUCGUAAACCUCUGUCUAGAGGGAAGAAACCAUUGAGGUCGAACAGGCCUCUUUGCUGACGGUACCUCUGAAGGAAGCACCGGCUAACUCCGUGCCAGCAGCCGCGGUAAUACGGAGGGUGCGAGCGUUAAUCGGAAUCACUGGGCGUAAAGCGCACGUAGGCGGUGUCGUAAGUCGGAUGUGAAAGCCCUCGGCUCAACCGGGGAACUGCAUUCGAGACUGCGAUGCUUGAGUGCCGGAGAGGGUGGCGGAAUUCCAGGUGUAGGAGUGAAAUCCGUAGAUAUCUGGAGGAACACCAGUGGCGAAGGCGGCCACCUGGCCGGCAACUGACGCUGAGGUGCGAAAGCGUGGGGAUCAAACA
rnacentral:rRNA from 1 species